rnacentral:rRNA from 1 species
UACGGGGGGGGCAAGCGUUGUUCGGAAUUACUGGGCGUAAAGGGCUCGUAGGCGGCCAACUAAGUCGGAUGUGAAAUCCCCAGGCUCAACCUGGGAACUGCAUCCGAUACUGGAUGGCUUGAAUUCGGGAGAGGGAUGCAGAAUUCCAGGUGUAGCGGUGAAAUGCGUAGAUAUCUGGAGGAAUACCGGUGGCGAAGGCGGCAUCCUGGACCGAGAUUGACGCUGAGGAGCGAAAGCCAGGGGAGCAAACGGG